UACGUAGGGUGCGAGCGUUGUCCGGAAUUAUUGGGCGUAAAGAGCUCGUAGGCGGCUUGUCACGUCGGUUGUGAAAGCCCGGGGCUUAACCCCGGGUCUGCAGUCGAUACGGGCAGGCUAGAGUUCGGUAGGGGAGAUCGGAAUUCCUGGUGUAGCGGUGAAAUGCGCAGAUAUCAGGAGGAACACCGGUGGCGAAGGCGGGUCUCUGGGCAACAACUGACGCUGAGGAGCGAAAGCGUGGGGAGCGAACAGG
rnacentral:rRNA from 1 species